GACGAACGCUGGCGGCGUGCCUAAUACAUGCAAGUCGAGUGCAGGAAGCUGACGGAACUCUUCGGAGGGAAGGCAGUGGAAUGAGCGGCGGACGGGUGAGUAACACGUAAGGAACCUGCCUCAAGGAUUGGGAUAACUCCGAGAAAUCGGAGCUAAUACCGGAUAGUUCAACGGACCGCAUGGUCCGCUGAUGAAAGGCGCUUCGGCGUCACCUUGAGAUGGCCUUGCGGUGCAUUAGCUAGUUGGUGGGGUAACGGCCCACCAAGGCGACGAUGCAGAGCCGACCUGAGAGGGUGAUCGGCCACACUGGGACUGAGACACGGCCCAGACUCCUACGGGAGGCAGCAGUAGGGAAUCUUCCACAAUGGACGAAAGUCUGAUGGAGCAACGCCGCGUGAGUGAUGAAGGUUUUCGGAUUGUAAAACUCUGUUGUAAGGGAAGAACACGUACGAGAGGAAAUGCUCGUACCUUGACGGUACCUUACGAGAAAGCCACGGCUAACUACGUGCCAGCCGCCGCAGUAA
rnacentral:rRNA from 1 species